GGCAAGAUGGCCGAGCGGUCUAAGGCGCUGCGUUCAAGAGUAUAAGUCUCUUCCUGGGAAACAGGUCUUGCAGUAUCGAAAGAUGCCGGGGUUCGAAUCCCCGUCUUGUCA